CAGGCCUAACACAUGCAAGUCGAACGGAAGCCUUCGGGCUUUAGUGGCAAACGGGUGCGUAACGCGUAAGCAACCUGCCCCUGACUGGGGGAUAGCCCGGCGAAAGCGGGGGUAAGCCCGCACGGUCCCUUUCUCUCACCUGGGAGCAAGGGUAAAGAUUUAUCGGUUAGGGAGGGGCUUGCGUCUGAUUAGCUAGUUGGCAGGGUAACGGCCUACCAAGGCGAUGAUCAGUAGGGGUUCUGAGAGGAUUGGCCCCCACAUGGGUACUGAGAGACGGACCCAACUCCUACGGGAGGCAGCAGUAGGGAAUAUUGGGCAAUGGAGGCAACUCUGACCCAGCCAUGCCGCGUGCAGGAUGAAGGCGCUCAGCGUUGUAAACUGCUUUUACUCAUGAAGAACUGUGGGGAUGCGUCCUUACUUGACGGUAAUGAGGGAAUAAGCACCGGCUAACUCCGUGCCAGCAGCCGCGGUAAU
rnacentral:rRNA from 1 species